AAUAAAAACAUAUUCCCUCCAAAAGUUCUCUAAAAACCUCCUUGAGAGUUCAAAGUGAAUAUGGAGCUUGAAGAUGGUUCUUCAAUGGAGUUUAUUCUUAAAUAUUCAUUGGUUUCUUCAAAUAAGGUCCAUAUGGUAUCGAGUUGGAUGAUUUAUCCUUGAAAGCGAAGUGGUAAGUUGGAGAGAAGUGUUGGGAAUUGGAAGUCUUGAUGUGCCAUGGAGGAUGGAUAGGUUUCUAAGGCUUGAAGAUGAAGUAUUGGUGAGUCCUCAUCGAUUCGAGGACAAUGUCCACAUGUCCCUUAUGUCAUAGACUUUAUUUUAUUGUCUUGUAUGGGAUUAGUCCCAAGUUUUGUAUACUGUAAAGUUUAGAUGGUUCAGGUAGAUGUUGUAAAGAUUUAAUGUUUUAAAUGAAAGUCUUCCGCUUGUGUAAUUUUGAUGAAAGAGUUUUUCGUGAGUGAAGUAAGUUUUAAAUUUUUACCUA